AGUAAUACAUCGGAACGAGCCCUGUAGUGGGGGAUAACUAGUCGAAAGAUUAGCUAAUACCGCAUACGACCUGAGGGUGAAAGUGGGGGACCGCAAGGCCUCAUGCUAUAGGAGCGGCCGAUGUCUGAUUAGCUAGUUGGUGGGGUAAAGGCCCACCAAGGCGACGAUCAGUAGCUGGUCUGAGAGGACGAUCAGCCACACUGGGACUGAGACACGGCCCAGACUCCUACGGGAGGCAGCAGUGGGGAAUUUUGGACAAUGGGCGAAAGCCUGAUCCAGCAAUGCCGCGUGUGUGAAGAAGGCCUUCGGGUUGUAAAGCACUUUUGUCCGGAAAGAAAUGGCUCUGGUUAAUACCUUGGGGUCGAUGACGGUACCGGAAGAAUAAGGACCGGCUAACUACGUGCCAGCAGCCGCGGUAAUACGCCCCCCCCCAAGCGGUAAUCGGAAUUACUGGGUGUAAAGCGUGCGCAGGCGGUUGUGCCAGACCGAUGUGAAAUCGCCGAGCUUAACUUGUGAAUUGCAUUGGUGACUGCGCGGCUAG
rnacentral:rRNA from 1 species